rnacentral:sRNA from 1 species
UUCAGUCGAGGCGACCUAAACUGCGACAUCCUUGUCGCAACGGUCGCAUGACCUACAUCGUGUUGG